ACUUGUGGCAGGAUCUUCUCACUUGUUAGCCCCCACUGGAGUUCUGUACACUCUUCCAAGUACAGACCAGCUCCCUGACCCCUAUCCUGUCACUUCGGCUGUGUCCAUAAAGGUUCACUGUACGCCAUAAGCCGGAAAGCAGGAUCCUUUCAGAAAGCUCUACAUGAAAUGCUGUCCUCUGAUGGAGUGAAUAUGUGUACAAUGAUUUUUGGAACUCACUUUGCAAGGGGUGAUUGCUGCAAAGUCAGGACUGCAGUGUAUCUGAGAACGGGUGCUCCUUCCUAAUCUGAGAGGCACCGAGGAAUGCUUCUUUGUAAACCAACAGUUCUGACAGCCAGACCUCAUUAGUUUCCCAUAAUCCUUGAUGGUGGCAAUUUUUGCUCCCUGUUUUCUGUUGUGCAUCCAGAGCAGACCUGCUGGAACCAGAUCCAGAGGCUAGCUGAGGGAGACGCCUCUGAAGAAGGUCACUGCCAACAAAUCACAGGUCCUAUGGGCCCUCAGCAUUGCACUCCCUUCCCUCCAUUUGACUCUGCCAUUCUCCUCUGAGAAGACCCAGGAAUGAAUGCUCCUUUGUAAAACCACAGCUCUGACAGCCAGAUCUCCUGAGUUUUCCAUAAUCCUUGAUGGUGGCAAUUUUUGUUCAAGAGGCUUGAACUCUGCUCCUGGCUCACCAGCCAGUCUUCUCCCCUCUGUCACUGACCUGCCGGGGCCUACAUAUGGCCAUCUCCUCCCAUGCCCCUCCUCGGCUUCUGGCAGCAACCUUCAAACUCCUUCACAGUGAGCAAAGGAACCCAAGGUCCAUUCCUCUCGUCUCCACGUCCUCGCCGCCUCCGCCUCCCAGUCCUGGACGCCAAGGCCCCGGCUUCCCCUCGCCCUGGCUCUCUCCUCAAGGACCUUCUCGGCCUUCCUCCAGGCCGACUCGCUACUGUCAGUCUGCACCUGCAAGCCCAGCGGCCCGGCUUUCGGUCCCGUCAGUACCCCUCUCCAUCGCCUCCCAGCGCGGUGUUCGGCCGCCGUACCGAGGGCGCCUGUAAAGCUCAGUCAGAGCGCCGAGCCGGGCUUGCGUCAAGAAGACGCGAAGAGAUCGGCAGCACGGCCGCCGAGCGCCGCUCCCAGAAGAACUGGUCAACCAGCGCCGGGCUCGGC
ensembl:lncRNA